GAUAGCAGCCACAUCACCCUGUAGCCCAAGACUGGUUGCCCACUGAAGCUAAGCAGGGCUGAGCCUGGUUAGUACUUGGAUGGGAGACCUCCUGGGAAAACCAGGUGCUGUUGGAA
rnacentral:rRNA from 1 species